rnacentral:rRNA from 1 species
AUGGAAGUCUUAGUAAUCACGCCCGACUGGACAGUGCCAUAUAUCGUGUACCAGCUCAGGCAGGAACUCCCAGAAGAUGAGGAUGAGGCCCGCCAGAUCGUCCAUCGAUCGAAGGCUUUCACCAUGAUCAAAGGGAAGCUUCACAGAGAAAGUGUCAUAGGAGUGGCUCAACGCUACAUCACCCCGGAAGAAGGUCGAAUGAUUUUAAACGAGAUCCACUCGGGGACCUGUGGUCACCAUGCGUCCUCUCGGGCCAUCAUGGCCAAAGCAUACCGAGCGAGAUUCUAUUGGCUGCAUGCAAAUGAGAUGGCAAAGGAUAUAGUUGACAAGUGCACGGGUUGUCAGUUCUACUCCAACAUGUCUCACAAGCCUGCAUCUGCCUUGAAGACUAUUCCACUCAUCUGGUCGUUUGCGGUCUGGGGGUUAGAUAUGGUUGGACCCUUCAACACCGGCAGAAGUGGCUUCACUCAUUUUGCUCAUAGCAGUCGACAAGUUCACCAAAUGGAUUGA